rnacentral:misc_RNA from 1 species
UAAAAAAAAAAAAAAAAAAAAUGUGUGAAAGAAGGCAAAAACCCCGAAGGGGCGCUUUCUGGAAAAUGAGUGAAGGACGAAAACCCGAAGGGACGUCCUGAAAGAGCGAGUAAAAAAAAAAAAAAAAGGGGAGCUUGCUAGGUGGAAAACCCGGAAGGGCCACUUAGGCAAAAGUUAGAGCAAGCCCGCUGAGAUGAAAACCCAAAAGGGCAUUUCAGGCAAAACUUAGGGCGCAGAGAAUGAAGUUAAUGGGGGGAGAAAAGAAAAAGAAAAAUCAAAGAGAAAUUAUAUUGUGACCUUAAGGAAGUCUUU